CUUUGGCUAAAAUGCAGAGCUCUUGUACAAGAGAAGUGGGAAACAACACUGGAGAAAAAUGGGGGCCAAUAUAUAAGGACUAGAAGGAAGGAUAGUAAAUACUUCAGGAACUCAGAGAACUAGCAGCUAACAUGAAGAUGGAAUGUGGCACUACCAAUCUAUUUCCUCUCACCUUUGCUGAAGAAAGACAUCCCAGAAGACUUCAUUUCUUAAAAUUGCAUCUGCUGACAAAUUCUAACAUGGAAGAAUAUUAAACUGGAGAUUCUGAUGAAGGCAACUAGGAAGGAGAAAAUCAUGCAAAGAGGUACUGGGGUGGCUGCCUUUCAUUCAACACAUGUCAAGGUGGGCCGUCCUUACCCCCUCUAGCCAAGCAGCUUUUCACAGCUGGACCUGGGCAUUUUCUGGAAUAAAAACAUAAACUGCAUAGCCAAGGAAUUUGCCCUCUGAAGCAAACAGCAUCCAAUCCAUCCUGUGGACAGCUCAAGGAGGAAAAAAAAAAUAAAAAAACCCGACAACAACCCAAUAACCCAGCUACUUGUCAGCCAGUGUGCUGCCUUGGCUAAUGAAUAUUAGACAAAUGAAUUUGCCUUGUUUGAGCCUCCAAACAUCCAGGAUUAAACCAAUAACCUUAAAGAACAUGACGUCCUGAGCCAGCAAAUUAAAGGCUGUUUCCAGCCCCA